AAAAACAGAAAACGAAUCGGGACUCGAGAGAGAAAAGCUUUGAGGGAUCAAUGUUUAACGAGGGACGUGAGGAAGAGUCGAUGAAUGAGGGAUCAACGGUGUGUGAAGACGGAAGAGAUUAACAGAAAGGAGAGAGAGACACACACACUGUCGUUAUACACCAGCAGGAGAAAAUACCAAGUGUUGUGCCUUAAAAAAAUACACUGAGACCUAUCUGAAAGUGUAAAGAAGGACUCAGAAGUCCGCUGAUUUCAACAAGACCUCACCUGAGUUCAUCGAGUGGCGUUCACUCAUCUGUUCAUGUUGCAAACCUCGGAGACACAGCUACCUUUUCUUCUGUAAACAGGUUGUUGGGGAUGAGGUGCUAGAGACCUCAGUUUUCUCGCUGCCAGCAGUUGGUGAGGAAGUCAGCUCGUGUGUGCUGACGUGUAUGUGCGUGCGUGCGGGGAUGAGGAUGUGAACCAAUGUCCAUUUGACUGCAGUCACAAUCAACGGAUUGCACCCUUCCGAUGUAUUUUCAUAAGUGCUCAAACUAAAGAGUGACGAGCUGCAGCCGUUGCCAUCCCCCUCCCCCAGUGGCUGCUGACGUCAACAACAUGCUGUAAAGGACGACAGACAGAAGACGACAUGAAUAUGAAUAACAGAAUGCUGGACAUCAUUCGCGGCUGGUGGUUCCAGGUGGCGCUGCACCUCUCCCUCACAGGUGUUUGGGAACCUCUGGAAGAACGGAUCAUCGUAUUCGUUGUUUUCUCCAGCCUCAUCCUCCUGACCUCUGUAGCCUACAUCUACAUGCCCGGUCACCUGCUCAUGCUCUUCCACUUUUUCCGCAAUAUCAUCAACGAAAUCACUAACAGCAAGUGACAAGGCCACGCCCCUCA